UAGCGAAGGGAGCAAGCGUUGCUCGGAUUUAUUGGGCGUAAAGGGUGUGUAGGCGGUUUGAUAAGUUAGAUGUGAAAGCCCAGGGCUUAACCCUGGAAUUGCAUUUAAGACUGUUAGACUUGAAGAUUGGAGAGGUAAGCAGAAUUCCCAGUGUAGAGGUGAAAUUCGUAGAUAUUGGGAAGAAUACCAAUGGCGUAGGCGAGCUUACUGGCCAAAUCUUGACGCUGAGGCACGAAAGCGUGGGGAGGCAAACAGG
rnacentral:rRNA from 1 species